rnacentral:rRNA from 1 species
GUGUCAGCAGCCGCGGUAAUACGUAGGGUGCUAGCGUUGUUCGGAAUCAUUGGGCGUAAAGCGCGUGUAGGUGGUCAGUAAAGUUGGGUGUGAAAUCCCUCGGCUCAACCGAGGAAGUGCACUCAAAACUAACUGGCUUGAGAGUGGUAGAGGAAGGUGGAAUUCCUAGUGUAGAGGUGAAAUUCGUAGAUAUUAGGAGGAAUACCGGAGGCGAAGGCGGCCUUCUGGACCAUUUCUGACACUGAGACGCGAAAGCGUGGGUAGCAAACAGGAUUAGAUACCCUUGUAGUCC